rnacentral:piRNA from 1 species
UGCUGAAGUAUUCGAUUACAUGGGG